rnacentral:lncRNA from 1 species
CUACAUUCCGUGGCAGCCUGGCUCCAACAUCCCAGGGAAUUGUGUCACUCCCAUUGAGCAGCUGUGGGGCCCUCUCCCACAUGGCCCAGGUCCACCACUCUGUCAAAGGUCGCACAGCCCAGACAAAAACAGGACACAGCAGUGUGUGAAUGAGCCGGGCUUUCUCCUUCCCUCCACGUAAUAGAAGGUGCCUGAGGUUGUUGAAACACAGUCCAUUUCUCCUGGGAAUGACAAGAAUUUGAGGGAUGCUGACUUUCAAGGAAUACUGCAUGACAGGCAUCAAGAUAAACCUGAUGAAGAAAACAUAGGCCAGAAUCUGGGAAUCGGGAGCAAAGUAAUACAGCUUCGGGGACAGGCACGUAAUGAGGUCAUGAUGUAGGAGACUCCCUGCAGGACUGGCGGCCCCUGUUCCCUGGGUUGUUCUGGCUCUUUCAGAACCUGACCCUGGAACAGGACUGAGCAGGUGCCUGUGUGCACAGAAGACCUUGUGUGAGUCCUUUGGUACCACGUUUGCUGCACGAAUGUCUGAGACACCUCACAGUCGCUUGGUUCAGCCUCUCCCUCCUCUCUCCGCUGGGGAACAUCAUCCCUCAUCACUGGAAGAAAUUACAAGGAUUGUAUUUAUAUGUUAACAAGCUGAAUUCCUGCUUCAUCUGGAGGACUGCACAGUGUAUCUGAGAGAGGAUUUUCAGGAGGCCAGAAAAUCAAGCUGGAGGGAUUUUCAGCGUGUUGGGAGAUUGCUACCUGUUUUAAGUCAGGCCAUUGCCACGUCUUUUUCCCCACCUUGGAGACUUCAGCAAAUUGCUCAAAUGUCGGUGUGCUCUCAUGAACAGAAACGAUGGCACGGUGGGUCCUGGUCUCAAGACUUCCUCUCAAUGAUUCAGAGGUCUUGGGGGUUUUUUGUCUGAAUAUCAGGCAAAGAGGAAGGACGGCUACAAUGGAGGAGUCUCCUACCACGCUUGUGGUCGUCACUGUAGUGCUCAGUUGAAUGGUGUGUCCAUUGGGGUUGGAGUCCCCAUCCUGUUCUGGGUCCUGGCCCCCCACAGGCUCCAGGGACAUAACCCUUCCAGUUCAGGAUCAUGUGCUGGGGCACUGUUCCCUGAGGUGGGACUCUGGGCUGUAACAGCUGCUUUUGAAGCAUGUUCCAGCUUCAACCACGUGCUUGGACGACACCAGCUCUUCCCACAUACUCUUCCCCAGCUCUUGUGUUGAGUUUGGCUUCCACCUUCCUCCAGCUGGGUCUCGCUAUGUUGCCCAAGCCAUUCUGGAGCUCCUGCGCUUAAGUGAUCCUCCUGCCUCAGCCUCCCAAGUAACUGGAAUUAUAAAUGUGAGCCACUGUGCCCAGCAAUUACAAAAUUUUUGGAAUGCAAUUGGGAAGUACAGCUGAAAAACUUCAGCAACGUGGGCUGUUUGAUUGUACAAUCGCACUUCUUGGAAUUUAUCCUACAGAAAUCAGUAGUCAAGUUCACAAAAACUGACAAUAGCCAUUACAGAGAAGCAGAAGAAAGGGAAAUAAAAACAUUCAAACCUACCAACAGGAGAUUGGACAAAUAAAUCAUGUUAUAACUAUACAAUGGGCUAUUAUGUAACCAUUAAAAUGAUCAUCUAUUCUA